rnacentral:rRNA from 1 species
UGAGGAAUUUUGCGCAAUGGGGGAAACCCUGACGCAGCGACGCCGCGUGGAGGACGAAGGCCUUCGGGUCGUAAACUCCUGUCAGAGGUGAAGAAUACCCGCAAGGGUUUGACGGUAACCUCAGAGGAAGCCCCGGCUAACUACGUGCCAGCAGCCGCGGUAAUACGUAGGGGGCAAACGUUACUCGGAAUUACUGGGCGUAAAGGGUGCGUAGGCGGCCGAGAAAGUCAAUGAUGAAAUCCCGUGGCUUAACUGCGGAACUGUCAUUGAAACUUCCCGGCUUGAGGAUAAUCGAAGAGAACGGAAUUCCCGGUGGAGCGGUGAAAUGCGUAGAUAUCGGGAGGAACACCUGAGGCGAAAGCGGUUCUCUAGACUACUCCUGACGCUGAGGCACGAAAGCUAGGGGAGCAAACGGG